rnacentral:siRNA from 1 species
UGCAUCUAGAGCCAUCAGGUAC